CCCUUAGAUGUUCUGGGCCGCACGCGCGCUACACUGAUGCAUUCAACGAGUCUACAACCUGGUCUGAUAGGGCUGGGUAAUCUUUUGAAUGUGCAUCGUGAUUGGGAUAGAUGAUUGCAAUUCUUCAUCUUCAACGAGGAAUGCCUAGUAAACGCAAGUCAUCAGCUUGCAUUGAUUACGUCCCUGCCCUUUGUACACACCGCCCGUCGCUCCUACCGAUUGAAUGAUCCGAUGAAUAUCAUGGAUUGAGGAUUAUAGCAGGUUCGCCUGUCUUGAUCUUCGAGAAGUGAAGUAAAUCCUAUCAUUUAGAGGAAGGAGAAGUCGUAACA
rnacentral:rRNA from 1 species